rnacentral:rRNA from 1 species
GACGAACCGUGCGAACGUUAUUCGGUAUCACUGGGCUUAAAGGGUGCGUAGGCUGCGAGGAGGGUGGGGUGUGAAAUCCCUCGGCUUAACCGAGGAAUUGCGCUCCAAACCGCCUUGCUGGAGUGAGACAGAGGUGAGCGGAACUAAUGGUGGAGCGGUGAAAUGCGUUGAUAUCAUUAGGAACACCAGAGGCGAAGGCGGCUCACUGGGUCUCAACUGACGCUGAUGCACGAAAGCUAGGGUAGCGAACGGG